GACGAACGCUGGCGGCGUGCUUAACACAUGCAAGUCGAACGGAAAGGCCCUGCCUUUGUGGGGUGGACGAGUGGCGAACGGGUGAGUAACACGUGAGUAACCUGCCCCUGACUUUGGGAUAACUUCUGGAAACUGCGGCUAAUACCGGAUACGAGAUUCUGCUGCAUGGGGGUGGUUGGAAAAUUUCGGCGGUUGGGGAUGGACUCGCGGCUUAUCAGCUUGUUGGUGGGGUAGUGGCUUACCAAGGCUUCGACGGGUAGCCGGCCUGAGAGGGUGACCGGCCACAUUGGGACUGAGAUACGGCCCAGACUCCUACGGGAGGCAGCAGUGGGGAAUAUUGCACAAUGGGCGGAAGCCUGAUGCAGCAACGCCGCGUGCGGGAUGACGGCCUUCGGGUUGUAAACCGCUUUCGCCUGUGACGAAGCGUGAGUGACGGUAACUGGUGAAGAAGCACCGGCUAACUACGUG
rnacentral:rRNA from 1 species